AAGAAAAGUACUGUGUGCUGAAAGAAAGUACUGUGAGUACCUCUGCAGUAAAAGCAGCAAACGGGCCGACGUGAAUGGCAGCCGAACGGUUGAGCGGCGAAAUUCUCGAGCACAUAACCACAAUUUCACAUCGAAAAUGUUGUUGAGGUCAUUCGACAUAUUGAAUUCACAUAGCAACUGGUUUCAAGACACCGCUGCGCAGCUCCUCCAUAACCCAAC